AGGACGAACGCUGGCGGCGUGCUUAACACAUGCAAGUCGAGCGGAAAGGCCCUUCGGGGUACUCGAGCGGCGAACGGGUGAGUAACACGUGAGUAAUCUGCCCCUAGCUCUGGGAUAGCUCCGGGAAACCGGGAUUAAUACCAGAUACGACCACUUUAGACAUCUGCUGUGGUGGAAAGAAUUUCGGCUAGGGAUGAGCUCGCGGCCUAUCAGCUUGUUGGUGAGGUAACGGCUCACCAAGGCGACGACGGGUAGCCGGCCUGAGAGGGCGACCGGCCACGACUGGGACUGAGACACGGCCCAGACUCCUACGGGAGGCAGCAGUGGGGAAUAUUGGACAAUGGGCGCAAGCCUGAUCCAGCCAUGCCGCGUGGAUGAUGAAGGCCCUAGGGUUGUAAAGUCCUUUCGACGGGGAAGAUAAUGACGGUACCCGUAGAAGAAGCCCCGGCUAACUUCGUGCCAGCAGCCGC
rnacentral:rRNA from 1 species